rnacentral:rRNA from 1 species
CAGCAGCCACGGUAACACGAGGGGUGCAAGCGUUAUUCGGAUUGAUUGGGUGUAAAGGGUGUGCAGACGGCUUAUUAAGUCACUUGUUAAAUUCUUCGGCCUAACUGAAGGUCUGCAAGUGAUACUGAUGAGCUAGAGGGUGGAAGAGAGAAGUGGAAUUCUCGGAGUAGCGGUAAAAUGCGUAGAUCUCGAGAGGAACACCAAUGGCGAAGGCAGCUUCUUGGUCCAUUCCUGACGUUCAUACACGAAAGCGUGGGGAGCAAACAGGAUUAGAUACCCCCGUAGUCCCUGUCUCUUAUAA